rfam:Salmo salar isolate Sally breed double haploid chromosome ssa01, whole genome shotgun sequence.
UGCAUUCACUACUGUAAGUUGCUCUGGAUAAGAGCGUCAGCUAAAUGACUUAAA